GUGCUUGCUUCAGCAGCACAUAUACUAUAUUUGGAACUAUACAGAGAAGAUUUGCAUGGCCCCUGUGCCAGGAUGACAUGCAAAUUUGUGAAGUGUUCCAUAUAUUU